AUGGCUUAUUUUGUCGUAACAGAGGGACCAUCAAUGCUUGCCAUUGAUCUCCUACUAAUCAAAUAUGAAGUAAAAUUAAGUUUGAGUCUUUCAGACCUCUUUGUUUCACUGCACUCUGAGCGCACUCAACUGCCCUUUGAGUGCAAUGAAACAGCCUUAAUUUACUUCACAUUAUCUACGAUGAUGCCUUCUACACUUCAGCGUGCGAACUGGAUCGUUCCUUGGAAUUAAGACUGCAUGGAUUAUGGAUUUGAUGUACUUGCACGCAUCUUCAAAAUUUCUCAGCACAGUUUCUGUUCAACCCCUGCCCUCAAAUCAUUUGCUUCAAUCAACACUCAUCUUUGUCUUACUUCUUGGAAAAUUAUUUGAACUACAGAAGACUGCAUGAUGCAUGAAUUUGACCUCUAUGGAUGUCCUCCAUUGAUGUGAGUAUUUUUUUAUUUUUCAUAAUAUGCUUUGUGCCAUGCAUUUUUAUACAAGCAGCGACCCUUCAUACUGUGACAUUGGUUUGAUAGGGAUUUUAAAUUUUACGUUUAUAUGUACCAAAAUACCAUGCUCAAGCGUUUGGUUGGGAAUUAGUAGAGUGUAUCUAAACUUUUUUUAAAGUGCAUGAUAAACAACAAUAGUGCUGGGAAAAAUAGCAUUGAAAGAGUAUAAAUUAAGGUAAGAUAUUACCAAUCCUUGGCAUUCAUGUCGGAGGUCUAAACACUACGAUGAAAAUAACUUUGAUGAACAGUUUUGAGAAAUUGGACUGACAAGAGACCACUAGAUUCAAAACUGAUUGUCAAAGCAAAAAUUUGGGCUUUCACACUGCAACAGCGAGCUGAUUUGGCGAGCAGAAGGUACUUAAAUACUUAUUGGAUGAGAAAGGAAAUCAUUUACAAGAUACUAAUUUAAGAGGUGAACUUGUCUGACUGCAAAAGAGUGCCAUAUCUGCUUAGGAGAGAGAGCAAUCAUACAGAAAAACUUCCUGUGGGUUUGAACUGGGUAGGUAAUGAAAUCCCACAGGAAAAAUGCGAGCACAAACCUCAGAAUGGGCUUCAUGGUUGCAUAUGAGACAGAAAUUCGAGACUGCAUUUUUGUAUUACAGAACUAUAAUGAGAGUAGAUGAUUUAAAAUCACUUUCCUAUGAUGAAAACUCCACCACUUGAACGAAAAUUAAUUAUUUCCACCCUAGUAGCAGCAAUCUGCAUGAGGCGCAAGAUUAGGUACUGAUCAAAUCUUCAAUAUUUUCCUUGUAACGAGUUUAAACACAACUGUAACUGCUCAUAUCUUCAGGGGAAACUUGGGGAGUCACAACACACAAAAAAAAUGAAGAAAAUUGGCCGUACUAUAGUUAAUUAACGUCAAAACUCACAAUUUCUCAUUACACUGCCAUUGAUAAACAGGCGUUUCAUCGAUUUACUAACGACAUAACCUCAAUCUGGGCGUGACCAGGUAUGGUCGAGAAGGUAUUGGUUCAUUCAUGAUUCAUGCCGUCUUAUCGCUUAUCAGAGGAUGCAGGAACGAGAUACUCACCGAUAAGGAAAGAAUUCACAACUUCCUGUUGCAAUACCGUCUUCCAUGCUGCGAUUUGUACUCAAAAAAAAUCCUGAAAUGCUUCCCAAGAUUUACAUACAAAAA
rnacentral:lncRNA from 1 species